AGAGUUUGAUCCUGGCUCAGGACGAACGCUGGCGGCGUGCUUAACACAUGCAAGUCGAGCGGUAAGGCCCUUCGGGGUACACGAGCGGCGAACGGGUGAGUAACACGUGGGCAACCUGCCCCGUACUCUGGGAUAAGCCCGGGAAACUGGGUCUAAUACCGGAUAUGACUCUGGGCCGCAUGGCCUGGGGUGGAAAGUUC
rnacentral:rRNA from 1 species